AAAGCUCUGUUGUUAGGGAAGAACAAGUACCGUUCGAAUAGGGCGGUACCUUGACGGUACCUAACCAGAAAGCCACGGCUAACUACGUGCCAGCAGCCGCGGUAAUACGUAGGUGGCAAGCGUUGUCCGGAAUUAUUGGGCGUAAAGGGCUCGCAGGCGGUUUCUUAAGUCUGAUGUGAAAGCCCCCGGCUCAACCGGGGAGGGUCAUUGGAAACUGGGGAACUUGAGUGCAGAAGAGGAGAGUGGAAUUCCACGUGUAGCGGUGAAAUGCGUAGAGAUGUGGAGGAACACCAGUGGCGAAGGCGACUCUCUGGUCUGUAACUGACGCUGAGGAGCGAAAGCGUGGGGAGCGAACAGGAUUAGAUACCCUGGUAGUCCACGCCGUAAACGAUGAGUGCUAAGUGUUAGGGGGUUUCCGCCCCUUAGUGCUGCAGCUAACGCAUUAAGCACUCCGCCUGGGGAGA
rnacentral:rRNA from 1 species